rnacentral:rRNA from 1 species
AGAGCGAACGCUGGCGGCAGGCUUAACACAUGCAAGUCGAGCGGGCGUAGCAAUACGUCAGCGGCAGACGGGUGAGUAACGCGUGGGAACAUACCUUUUGGUUCGGAACAACACAGGGAAACUUGUGCUAAUACCGGAUAAGCCCUUACGGGGAAAGAUUUAUCGCCGAAAGAUUGGCCCGCGUCUGAUUAGCUAGUUGGUGAGGUAAUGGCUCACCAAGGCGACGAUCAGUAGCUGGUCUGAGAGGAUGAUCAGCCACAUUGGGACUGAGACACGGCCCAAACUCCUACGGGAGGCAGCAGUGGGGAAUAUUGGACAAUGGGCGCAAGCCUGAUCCAGCCAUGCCGCGUGAGUGAUGAAGGCCCUAGGGUUGUAAAGCUCUUUUGUGCGGAAGAUAAUGACGGUACCGCAAGAAUAAGCCCGGCUAACUCGCGCCAGCAGCCGC